CAGCACUUGGGAGGCAGAGGCAGGUGGAUUGCUCAGAGUUCACCGCCAGUUUGAGCUACAUAAUGAGUUCCAGGCCAGCCAGUGCUACAGAGGGAGACCUUCUCAAAAACCAACAGCCAGCUUAUAGAAAAUAUGAAACACUUCAUGGAUUCUCUUGAGCAGACACCUCUCUGUUCACCUCUGCGUCGGUCAAGCUUCAGAACAGUGCUGCCAAGGCCACCACGCAAUUGCAUUUUUCUGUUUGGUGCUGGGUGUGUCAACAGGUAGGUGGUGGCACACACCUUUAGUCCCAGCACUCAGGAGGUGGAGGCAGGAGGAACUCUGUGAGUUUGAGACCAGCAUGGUUUACAUGGCUGGCCUGGAACUCAUGAUGGUCACGCGCCUCAUCCUCUUACGUGUUGGAAUGUGGGCUGGAAUUACAGGCAUGAGCCACCAUGCCCG